GACGAACGCUGGCGGCGUGCCUAAUACAUGCAAGUUGAGCGAUGAAGCUUGGUGCUUGCACCAAUUUGAAGAGCCGCGAACGGGUGAGUAACGCGUGGGGAAUCUGCCUUUGAGCGGGGGACAACAUUUGGAAACGAAUGCUAAUACCGCAUAAUAACUUUAAACAUAAGUUUUAAGUUUGAAAGAUACAAUUGCAUCACUCAAAGAUGAUCCCGCGUUGUAUUAGCUAGUUGGUGAGGUAAAGGCUCACCAAGGCGAUGAUACAUAGCCGACCUGAGAGGGUGAUCGGCCACAUUGGGACUGAGACACGGCCCAAACUCCUACGGGAGGCAGCAGUAGGGAAUCUUCGGCAAUGGACGAAAGUCUGACCGAGCAACGCCGCGUGAGUGAAGAAGGUUUUCGGAUCGUAAAACUCGGUUGGUAGAGAAGAACGUUGGUGAGAGUGGAAAGCUCAUCAAGUGACGGUAACUACCCAGAAAGGGACGGCUAACUACGUG
rnacentral:rRNA from 1 species